UACGUAGGGGGCAAGCGUUGUCCGGAUUUAUUGGGCGUAAAGAGCGUGUAGGCGGCCUUACAGGUCAGCUGUGAAAACUGGAGGCUCAACCUCCAGCUGUCGAUGGAAACCAUCUGGCUAGAGUCCGGAAGAGGAGAGUGGAAUUCCUGGUGUAGCGGUGAAAUGCGCAGAUAUCAGGAAGAACACCCGUGGCGAAGGCGGCUCUCUGGGACGUGACUGACGCUGAGACGCGAAAGCGUGGGGAGCGAACAGG
rnacentral:rRNA from 1 species